UGGGGAAUUUUGGACAAUGGGCGCAAGCCUGAUCCAGCAAUGCCGCGUGCAGGAUGAAGGCCUUCGGGUUGUAAACUGCUUUUGUACGGAGCGAAAAGGUCUGCCCUAAUACGGUGGGCUCAUGACGGUACCGUAAGAAUAAGCACCGGCUAACUACGUGCCAGCAGCCGCGGUAAUACGUAGGGUGCGAGCGUUAAUCGGAAUUACUGGGCGUAAAGCGUGCGCAGGCGGUUUUGUAAGACAGAGGUGAAAUCCCCGGGCUCAACCUGGGAAUUGCCUUUGUGACUGCAAGGCUUGAGUGCGGCAGAGGGGGAUGGAAUUCCGCGUGUAGCAGUGAAAUGCGUAGAUAUGCGGAGGAACACCGAUGGCGAAGGCAAUCCCCUGGGCCUGUACUGACGCUCAUGCACGAAAGCGUGGGGAGCAAACA
rnacentral:rRNA from 1 species